AGUGAACGCUGGCGGUAGGCCUAACACAUGCAAGUCGAACGGCAGCACAGUAAGAGCUUGCUCUUACGGGUGGCGAGUGGCGGACGGGUGAGGAAUACAUCGGAAUCUACUUUUUCGUGGGGGAUAACGUAGGGAAACUUACGCUAAUACCGCAUACGACCUACGGGUGAAAGCAGGGGAUCUUCGGACCUUGCGCGAUUGAAUGAGCCGAUGUCGGAUUAGCUAGUUGGCGGGGUAAAGGCCCACCAAGGCGACGAUCCGUAGCUGGUCUGAGAGGAUGAUCAGCCACACUGGAACUGGGACACGGUCCAGACUCCUACGGGAGGCAGCAGUGGGGAAUAUUGGACAAUGGGCGCAAGCCUGAUCCAGCCAUACCGUGUGGGUGAAGAAGGCCUUCGGGUUGUAAAGCCCUUUUGUUGGGAAAGAAAAGCAGCAGGUUAAUACCCCGCUGUUCUGACGGUACCCAAAUAAUAAGCACCGGCUAACUUCGUG
rnacentral:rRNA from 1 species